rnacentral:lncRNA from 1 species
CCAAACAAAUAAUUCAAUGGGUGGUGAUGUGGAUGAUGAUGAUAAUGUGGAUGAAACUAUGAAUGAUGAUGAAGAUGAUGAUGUUGAUUGAUUUUUUUAUUUUUAUUUUACUUUUAAAUAUUAAUUUUUGUAAAAUAUUCCUAAUUAUUUUGAAUUUCUAAUCAUCUUUAAUUGAAAUUCAUAUUUCUAAUUAAUAUUUGAAAACAUUCAUAUUUUAAAUUAUUAAUUGAAAUUAUUAUUUUUAAUUGUAAAAAAAUU